GGCGAACGGGUGCUUAACACGUGGGCAACUGCCGUGAAGUGGGGGAUAGCUCGCCGAAAGGCGAAUUAAUACCGCAUGUGAUUAGAGAGGACAUCCUUUCGAAAUUAAAGUCGGGGCAACCUGACGCUUUUUGUGGGGCCCGCGGCCUAUCAGCUAGUUGGUGGGGUAACGGCUCACCAAGGCUUUGACGGGUAGCUGGUCUGAGAGGACGACCAGCCACACUGGGACUGAGACACGGCCCAGACACCUACGGGUGGCAGCAGUCGAGAAUUUUUGACAAUGGGGGAAACCCUGAUCGAGCGACGCCGCGUGGAGGAUGAAGGUCUUCGGAUUGUAAACUCCUGUCAUUGGGGAACAAGGUGCAUACGUUAACUGCGUGUGCAUUGAUAGUACCCGAAGAGGAAGAGACGGCUAACUCUGUGCCAGCAGCCGCGG
rnacentral:rRNA from 1 species